rnacentral:rRNA from 1 species
CGCGUAGGCGGACAGUAUAGUCAGGCGUGAAAUUCCUGGGCUCAACCUGGGGGCUGCGCUUGAUACGUGCUGUCUUGAGUGGGGAAGAGGGUCGUGGAAUUCCCAGUGUAGAGGUGAAAUUCGUAGAUAUUGGGAAGAACACCGGUGGCGAAGGCGGCGACCUGGUCCUUGACUGACGCUGAGGCGCGAAAGCGUGGGGAGCAAACAGGAUUAGAUACCCUGGUAGUCCACGCCGUAAACGAUGUGCGCUGGAUGUUGGGCGGCCCUAGCCGUUCAGUGUCGCAGCUAACGCGUUAAGCGCACCGCCUGGGGAGUACGGCCGCAAGGUUGAA